rnacentral:rRNA from 1 species
AUUGAACGCUGGCGGCAGGCCUAACACAUGCAAGUCGCACGAGUGGCGGACGGGUGAGUAAUGUCUGGGAAACUGCCCGAUGGAGGGGGAUAACUACUGGAAACGGUAGCUAAUACCGCAUACCAUCGGAUGUGCCCAGAUGGGAUUAGCUAGUAGGGUGGGAAACGGUUAACCUAGGCGACGAUCCCUAGCUGGUCUGAGAGGAUGACCAGCCACACUGGAACUGAGACAGGGUCCAGAUGCCUCCGGGGGGCAGCAGUGGGGAAGAUUGAAAAAUGGGAGCAAGCCUGAUGAGGCCAUGAGGCGUGUAGGUAGAAGGCUUUGGGGUUGUAAAGUACUUUCGCAGAGGAGAGGUUACUCGCAGAAGAAGCACCGGCGAACUCCGUGCCAGCAGCCGCGGUAUUC